CCCGGUGCCCUGCGGGGUUAACGGCGGUGUUAAACCUUAAAGUAGCGUGAUAGAUUGGCCUUUAAUUGGGGUCUGGUAUGAAUGGGUUGACGUCGGAAAUGCUGUCUCAAAAAAAUAUAAUGAAAUUUACUUUUCAGUGAAAAGGCUGAAAUUUGAGUAAAAGACGAGAAGACCCUAUCGAGCUUGAGGGAUUCUAAUGUUGUAAAACCGUUAGAAGGAGUUUGGCUGGGGCAGCAACGGAGGUAACCUCCGUUUUUAAGUCGAAGAUCCAUUAGAUUGGUUAAUGAUAAGAGGAAAAAGUUACCGUAGGGAUAACAGCACCAGACCGCCUCAGAGGCCGUAUCGAAGGCGGAAGGUGUGACCUCGAUGUUGGAUCAGGGUGAACCGCAUGGUGCAGGAGCUAUGCAGG
rnacentral:rRNA from 1 species